rnacentral:rRNA from 1 species
UACGUAGGGGGCGAGCGUUGUCCGGAUUUAUUGGGCGUAAAGAGCUCGUAGGCGGUUGGGUAAGUCGGGUGUGAAAACUCAGGGCUCAACUCUGAGAUGCCACUCGAUACUGCCCUGACUCGAGUCCGGUAGGGGAGCGUGGAAUUCCCGGUGUAGCGGUGAAAUGCGCAGAUAUCGGGAGGAACACCAGAGGCGAAGGCGGCGCUCUGGGCCGGAACUGACGCUGAGGAGCGAAAGCGUGGGUAGCAAACAGG